rnacentral:rRNA from 1 species
UACGGGGGGGGCAAGCGUUGUUCGGAAUUACUGGGCGUAAAGGGCUCGUAGGUGGCCAACUAAGUCGGACGUGAAAUCCCUCGGCUUAACCGGGGAACUGCGUCCGAUACUGGUUGGCUUGAGUUUGGGAGAGGGAUGCGGAAUUCCAGGUGUAGCGGUGAAAUGCGCAGAUAUCAGGAGGAACACCGGUGGCGAAGGCGGGUCUCUGGGCCGAUACUGACGCUGAGGAGCGAAAGCGUGGGGAGCAAACAGG